rnacentral:rRNA from 1 species
AGUGAACGCUGGCGGCGUGCUUAACACAUGCAAGUCGAACGAGAACGGAAUAUAGCUUGCUAUAUUUGUCAGCUAAGUGGCGCACGGGUGAGUAAUGUAUAGAUAACCUGCCCUUAAGAAAGGAAUAACAGUUGGAAACGACUGCUAAUGCCCUAUAUGUCUUUAAUACAUAAGUAUGCAAGGGAAACGCUUUAGUGCUUAAGGAUGGGUCUGUAUGGUAUCAGAUUGUUGGUGAGGUAAUGGCUCACCAAGGCUAUGACGCCUGACUGUUUUGAGAGGAGGAACAGUCACACUGGAAAUGAGACACGGUCCAGACACCUACGGGAGGCAGCAGUGGGAAUAUUGCACAAUGGACGAAAGUCUGAGGCAGCAACGCCGCGUGGAGGAUGAAACAUUUCGGUGCGUAAACUCCUUUUAUAUAGGAAGAUAAUGACGGUACUAUAUGAAUAAGCACCGGCUAACUCCGUGCCAGCAGCCGCGGUAA